AUACUUGAGUUUGUUUGUUUUGGUGGAGGCAAAUCCAUUGAUGUUCAGCAAAGUCACAAAUGCCAGCAAUAACCAGCUCAAGGAUGCGACUUGGAGGAUUAGGAAAACAGAAAAGACGAGCUGAUGCAGAUGAUAUGAGUCAAUAACAGAUCGAAAAGAAAUACAUGCAUUAAAGAAACGGAAACUCUAGCUAGAUAUACUGGAGAAGGAGAAACAACCCAAUAAUAAUUCAUAUAAUUAAAUAAAAUAAAACAGUUUAUUCUAAACCAUCUUUUUAUUACACUAUGCAUUUUGCACAUUCAAUGUUUAUCUCAUUUCUCGUCCACUGGAACACUUAAUUAAAAUAAAGAUGUAGGUAUGAA